rnacentral:rRNA from 1 species
UACGUAGGGUGCGAGCGUUGUCCGGAAUUAUUGGGCGUAAAGAGCUCGUAGGCGGUUUGUCGCGUCUGCUGUGAAAACUCGGGGCUUAACUCCGGGCCUGCAGUGGGUACGGGCAGACUAGAGUGCGGUAGGGGAGACUGGAAUUCCUGGUGUAGCGGUGAAAUGCGCAGGUAUCAGGAGGAACACCGGUGGCGAAGGCGGGUCUCUGGGCCGUAACUGACGCUGAGGAGCGAAAGCGUGGGGAGCGAACAGG